rnacentral:snoRNA from 1 species
UGGACCUUUAUUCUUAUUCAGUUUUCUUCUCAAGGUGAAGAUAACUCUUUAUAAAUGUCCUAGAGAAAUAUAGUAGCUUUCUGUUCACCCUUUGCAAGUGAAAAGGGUGGAUUGUUCCACUACUGACACUU